rnacentral:rRNA from 1 species
AUGCUGUCCGGCGACGUUCCCCCGAACCAGACCGUCUACUUCAGGAACCUCAACGAGAAGGUCAAGAAAGAAGAGCUGAAGAGAUCACUUUAUGCAUUGUGCUCUCAGUAUGGAAGGAUAGUGGAUGUUGUGGCCUUGAAAACUCAUAAACUGAGGGGGCAAGCCUGGGUGGCAUUCAGUGAAAUUACAGCGGCUACCAACGCUUUCCGGGGCCUACAGGACUUCGAUUUUUACGGCAAAAAAAUGCGGGUACAAUAUGCAAAAACAAAGUCUGACUGUUUUGCAAAAGCAGAUGGGUCUUAUGCUCCUAAAGAGAAAAGGAAGAAGCAAGAGGAGAAAGCUGCUGAGAAAAAACGGCGAACUGAAGAUGGACAACAACCUGGUGCUAGUGCUCCUGUUGCCCCAAGCAAUGGAACUGGUCAUCAACCUUCUCGUUUUGCCAAGCCUCCGCAAGAGCCAGCUGCUCCGCCGAACAACAUCCUCUUCCUCCAGAACAUGCCGGACCAGACCACGAGCAUGAUGCUCCAGAUCCUGUUCCAGCAAUACCCUGGUUUCCGGGAGGUGCGGAUGAUCGAAGCCAAGCCAGGCAUUGCUUUUGUGGAGUACGAGGACGAGAACCAGUCCAUGGUUGCAAUGGAAGCCCUCCAGGGUUUCAAGAUCAGCCCAGAGAACCCAAUGGCCAUCUCAUACGCCAAAAAGUGA